UACGUAGGGUGCAGGCGUUAAUCGGAAUUACUGGGCGUAAAGCGUGCGCAGGCGGCUCCUUAAGUCAGAUGUGAAAGCCCCGGGCUUAACCUGGGAACUGCGUUUGAAACUGGGGAGCUAGAGUGUAGAAGAGGGGGGUGGAAUUCCAGGUGUAGCAGUGAAAUGCGUAGAUAUCUGGAGGAACACCGAUGGCGAAGGCAGCCCCCUGGGCUAACACUGACGCUCAUGCACGAAAGCGUGGGGAGCAAACAGG
rnacentral:rRNA from 2 species